UACGUAGGGUGCAAGCGUUAAUCGGAAUUACUGGGCGUAAAGCGUGCGCAGGCGGCUUUGCAAGACAGAUGUGAAAUCCCCGGGCUCAACCUGGGAAUUGCGAUGGAGACUGCAAGGCUAGAAUCUGGCAGAGGGGGGUAGAAUUCCACGUGUAGCAGUGAAAUGCGUAGAGAUGUGGAGGAACACCGAUGGCGAAGGCAGCCCCCUGGGUCAAGAUUGACGCUCAUGCACGAAAGCGUGGGGAGCAAACAGG
rnacentral:rRNA from 1 species